rnacentral:rRNA from 1 species
ACGGGGUGCAGCAGGCGCGAAACCUCCGCAAUACACGAAAGUGUGACGGGGUUACCCAAAGUGUUCUAUUUAGAACUGUGGUAGGUGAGUAAUGUCCCCUACUAGAAAGGAGAGGGCAAGGCUGGUGCCAGCCGCCGCGGUAAAACCAGCUCUUCAAGUGGCCGGGAUAAUUAUUGGGCUUAAAGUGUCCGUAGCCGGUUUAGUAAGUUCCUGGUAAAAUCGGGUAGCUUAACUAUCUAUAUGCUAGGAAUACUGCUAUACUAGAGGGCGGGAGAGGUCUGAGGUACUACAGGGGUAGGGGUGAAAUCUUAUAAUCCUUGUAGGACCACCAGUGGCGAAGGCGUCAGACUGGAACGCGCCUGACGGUGAGGGACGAAAGCCAGGGGAGCGAACCGGAUUAGAUACCCGGGUAGUCCUGGCCGUAAACGAUGCAUACUAGGUGAUGGCACGGCCAUGAGCCGUGUCAGUGCCGUAGGGAAACCGUUAAGUGUGCCGCCUGGGAAGUACGGUCGCAAGGCUAAAACUUAAAGGAAUUGGCGGGGGAGCACCACAAGGGGUGAAGCCUGCGGUUCAAUUGGACUCAACGCCGGAAAACUUACCAGGGGAGACAGCAGUAUGACGGUCAGGUUGACGACCUUACCUAACGAGCUGAGAGGAGGUGCAUGGCCGUCGCCAGUUCGUGCCGUGAGGUAUCCUGUUAAGUCAGGCAACGAACGAGAUCCGCACCUUUAUUUGCCACCAAGAAGUCACGACUUCGUUGG